UAGCCUGCCCAGUGAAAUUUUAACGGCCACGGUACCCUAACCGUGCGAAGGUAGCAUAAUCACUUGUUCUUUAAAUGGGGACUCGUAUCAACGGCAUCACGAGGGUUCUACUGUCUCCUCUCUCUAAUCAGUGAAACUAAUCUCCCCGUGAAGAAGCGAGGAUAAUACUAUAAGACGAGAAGACCCCAUGGAGCUUUAAACCCAAUUAUAUUCCUAACCCCCACAACCAUUUAAUCUCUUAGGCCCCAUAUACUUGGUUUUAGGUUGGGGCGACCACGGAGUAAAACCAAACCUCCAUGAUGUACGGAACAACCUCCUUAUCCAAGAGCCACAGCUCUAAGAAUUAGCACACUAUCAAAAAAUGACCCAUUAUUGAUCAACGAACCAAGUUACCCUGGGGAUAACAGCGCAAUCCAUUUUAAGAGCCCCUAUCGACAAAUGGGUUUACGACCUCGAUGUUGGAUCAGGAUAUCCCAGUGGUGCAGCAACUACUAAAGGUUCGUUUGUUCAACGAUCAAAAUCCU
rnacentral:rRNA from 1 species